rnacentral:rRNA from 1 species
UCCUACGGGAGGCAGCAGUGGGGAAUAUUGGACAAUGGGCGAAAGCCUGAUCCAGCAAUGCCGCGUGAGUGAGGAAGGCCUUAGGGUUGUAAAGCUCUUUCGGCGGGGACGAUGAUGACGGUACCCGCAGAAGAAGCCCCGGCUAACUCCGUGCCAGCAGCCGCGGUACAUUCGUCCUACGGGAGGCAGCAGUCAGGAAUAUUGCGCAAUGGAGGAAACUCUGACGCAGCGACGCCGCGUGAUCGA